AGAGUUUGAUCCUGGCUCAGAUUGAACGCUGGCGGCAGGCCUAACACAUGCAAGUCGAGCGGUAGCACAGAGAGCUUGCUCUCGGGUGACGAGCGGCGGACGGGUGAGUAAUGUCUGGGAAACUGCCUGAUGGAGGGGGAUAACUACUGGAAACGGUAGCUAAUACCGCAUAACGUCGCAAGACCAAAGUGGGGGACCUUCGGGCCUCAUGCCAUCAGAUGUGCCCAGAUGGGAUUAGCUGGUAGGUGGGGUAACGGCUCACCUAGGCGACGAUCCCUAGCUGGUCUGAGAGGAUGACCAGCCACACUGGAACUGAGACACGGUCCAGACUCCUACGGGAGGCAGCAGUGGGGAAUAUUGCACAAUGGGCGCAAGCCUGAUGCAGCCAUGCCGCGUGUGUGAAGAAGGCCUUCGGGUUGUAAAGCACUUUCAGCGGGGAGGAAGGCGGUGAGGUUAAUAACCUCAUCGAUUGACGUUACCCGCAGAAGAAGCACCGGCUAACUCCGUGCCAGCAGCCGCGGUAAUACGGAGGGUGCAAGCGUUAAUCGGAAUUACUGGGCGUAAAGCGCACGCAGGCGGUCUGUCAAGUCGGAUGUGAAAUCCCCGGGCUCAACCUGGGAACUGCAUUCGAAACUGGCAGGCUAGAGUCUUGUAGAGGGGGGUAGAAUUCCAGGUGUAGCGGUGAAAUGCGUAGAGAUCUGGAGGAAUACCGGUGGCGAAGGCGGCCCCCUGGACAAAGACUGACGCUCAGGUGCGAAAGCGUGGGGAGCAAACAGGAUUAGAUACCCUGGUAGUCCACGCUGUAAACGAUGUCGAUUUGGAGGUUGUGCCCUUGAGGCGUGGCUUCCGGAGCUAACGCGUUAAAUCGACCGCCUGGGGAGUACGGCCGCAAGGUUAAAACUCAAAUGAAUUGACGGGGGCCCGCACAAGCGGUGGAGCAUGUGGUUUAAUUCGAUGCAACGCGAAGAACCUUACCUGGUCUUGACAUCCACAGAACUUUCCAGAGAUGGAUUGGUGCCUUCGGGAACUGUGAGACAGGUGCUGCAUGGCUGUCGUCAGCUCGUGUUGUGAAAUGUUGGGUUAAGUCCCGCAACGAGCGCAACCCUUAUCCUUUGUUGCCAGCGGUUAGGCCGGGAACUCAAAGGAGACUGCCAGUGAUAAACUGGAGGAAGGUGGGGAUGACGUCAAGUCAUCAUGGCCCUUACGACCAGGGCUACACACGUGCUACAAUGGCAUAUACAAAGAGAAGCGACCUCGCGAGAGCAAGCGGACCUCAUAAAGUAUGUCGUAGUCCGGAUUGGAGUCUGCAACUCGACUCCAUGAAGUCGGAAUCGCUAGUAAUCGUAGAUCAGAAUGCUACGGUGAAUACGUUCCCGGGCCUUGUACACACCGCCCGUCACACCAUGGGAGUGGGUUGCAAAAGAAGUAGGUAGCUUAACCUUCGGGAGGGCGCUUACCACUUUGUGAUUCAUGACUGGGGUGAAGUCGUAACAAGGUAGCCGUAA
rnacentral:rRNA from 1 species